rnacentral:rRNA from 1 species
CAAUAGCGUAUAUUAAAGUUGUUGCGGUUAAAAGCUCGUAGUUGGAUUUCUGUUGAGGUCGACCGGUGUACACUUCGUGUAUUAUUAGGUUCGGUCUCGGCAUCCUCUUGGAGACGUCCCUCUUAAUUGAAGGACGGGUUCAAGACUUUUACUUUGAGGAAAUUAGAGUGUUCACGGCAGGCAAGUGCUUUGAAUACAUUAGCAUGGAAUAAUAAUAUAGGACCUUCUGUUCUAUUUUGUUGGUUUCUAGAACGUGGGUAAUGAUUAAGUAGGGAACAAGUUGGGGCGAUUCGUUAUUAACGCGUCAGAGGGUGGAAUUCUUGGUAUUGUCGUUACGACGAACUACUGACGAAAGCUAUUUGACCAAAGAUUGUUUUCUAUUGAUCAAGAAACGAAAGUAGU